rnacentral:rRNA from 1 species
GUAGGGAAUAUUGGACAAUGGGGGGAACCCUGAUCCAGCCAUGCCGCGUGGAGGAAGACUGCCCUCUGGGUUGUAAACUCCUUUUAUAUGGGAAGAACCGUCCUCAUUAAUGAGUGACCUGACGGUACCAUAGGAAUAAGCACCGGCUAACUCCGUGCCAGCAGCCGCGGUAAUACGGAGGGUGCAAGCGUUAUCCGGAUUCACUGGGUUUAAAGGGUGCGUAGGCGGAUAAAUAAGUCAGUGGUGAAAUCAACGGGCUCAACCUGUUAACUGCCAUUGAUACUGUGUAUCUUGAAUAUGAGAGAGGUAGGCGGAAUGUUGCAUGUAGCGGUGAAAUGCUUAGAUAUGCUACGGAACACCGAUUGCGAAGGCAGCUUACUAUUUCGUAAUUGACGCUGAGGCACGAAAGCGUGGGUAGCGAACAGGAUUAGAUACCCGAGUAGUCC